GCAAUCUUAAGCCACUAAAUCUCCCACCUAACAUUCUGCAUGAGAAACAACGUUUGGGCUGUUAAAACACACAGAGAGUUGGACGCUGUUAAAGUGGGUGAGACAGCAAGCCAGGUCCUGGGGGAGGACCAUAACUCAGUGGUAGAACAUCUGCCCUGCAUGUAGAAGGUCACAAGUUCAAUCCCCAUCAUCUCCAGGUAGGGCUGGGAGAGAUCUUUGUCUGAAACUCUGGGGAGAUGCUGUGUAGCCACUGCUGAUCUAGAUGGAUCAAUGGUCUAACACAAUAUAAGGCAGAUUUCCUAUGUUCUCCCCUUACAAUUCCGCAAUGUCUGCUUUAUAAAAAAUUUGGGCCAUUGCUCUCUGCAACCUUGCUACAGUGGAACCUCGGUUUUCGAACAUAAUCUGUUCUGGAAGUCUGUUCGACUUCCGAAAUAUUCGAAAACCGAGGAUCAAAGGACUGUCAGCAGGUUCAAUGGGGAAAAUUGAGAAACGCGCCUCAGAAGCCAUUCGACUUCUGACGCACAUUCAAAAAUGGAAGCAUUCACUUCCGGUUUUUUGGCAUUCGGCUUUCGAAACAUUUGGCAGCCAAGAUGUUCAAAAACCAAGGUUUGACUGUACUCUUUUUCUGUCCCUUCUCCUGUUCACUAAUCUGGCAUCUGUUAGUUGACUUUCAGGUAAUGACGCCAAUAGGUACUGCCUUCCCAUUGCAGAUGGCCAGCCGAUUGCAUCUUGGUUUGAACUAGGACCAUGAGGGACAAAGAAUUAAAACAACCCACCCAGCUCACAGUCCUAGCUUCCUUUCCCAUUACAAGCUUUUUUAUCUGUAUAUUAAAUAUUGCAUACCUGAGCUAAAGACAUCAAAAACAUUGCAUCUAGAUGCAAUACCUUGGCCAAUGGAAGUAAGGCUUGUGGUUGUAUGGAUAGAUAUUAAUCCGCAACAAGAGAAGUGGAUUCUCCUGUUUAAAUACUUUUCCUGGGUUAAUUCUCUGCUUUUUCCUGGACAUUUUCACCAAAACCUUUUGAACCAAUGGAAGGUGAACCCAGGUAAUGCAAGUAGCAGACGAAGGCCCCUUGACUGGGGCUACAGCAGAGAGCAAUGUGUUAAACCCCCUUGUUGCCUGCCAGGCACCUGAAAUUGAUCUCCCUGUGCCUGGGCUUUACUAUUGAAAUAUCAUUCAUGCAAUGAGUGAGUGGUGUCUAUUUUAGUUUGGUCCUAAGAUGUAGUUAGUUCAGGAGCAACUCAAGACUGCAAAGAAGUGAGCAAGAACCCUCAAACCCAGUUCUUCAACUCUGCAGCCGCACCCCCAGUCUUAGCUAGAACAUACAGUAGAACAUGAGACUCUUAAUCCCAGGGUUGUGGGUUCAAGCCCUAUAGUGGGUGAAAUUCCUGCAUUUCAGGGGGUUGAGCUAGAUAACCCCUGUUGCCUUUUCCAACUCUACCAUGCUAUGAUUCUAUACUCCCACCUGAAAUGCCUUCUAUAAACAGCAGCUAUAGGGGUAAUCACAGAAGAUAGGAGGUGGUUUCCUCGCCCCCAUAAUUUGAUCCCUGCUAUUAAUGAUCCAGUGUCCUAUUCAGGGCUCCAGCACAUUUGCUUUUUCCCCUGUUGCCUCCAAGGUUCUGCUGUUUUUAACAGCUUUAAGUAUAUUGUUUUUAUUCCUGUAAGCCAUGUUAUUGAUCCUAAAGCUGCAAAGGGAGAAUAUAAAUAUUUUUAAACAAGAUGCAUACACAGGAUGGUGCAGUGAGCGAUCUGUGUGCCAAGUGCAUGCAAUGGGCAGGCCUUUCCUUCAUCCAUCAGAAUGAUAUACAUUGCGCUAGUGGGCUUUAAAUAGCAACGAUCAUUGUGCCUCUUUCCCAAGGCCUCUGAAUUUCCCUGGGGUUUUUUCCCCUUUCCUACGUAGGAGCAAAUGUGAGAACACUGUCAAAUCAAUGCAACACAGUUUCCGUGAAGUGACACCAGUUACAGUUUUCAUCCAUACUACAUAUACCAUUGUCCUCCCUUCUGGGCACUGUCCCUCGGGACUUCACCUCCAGCUCUGUGCCCAGAACUUGCCAGUGGUACAGAUGUUAAAUCUUUGGUUCUGUUCGGCAUUGGCCCUAAGCUGAAUGCAGACACGUUGAAGUUUAUUUUAUCCUAGUUACGUGGGAGAGCAUUGCUUACAUGAAGGUAUUGCGAUGUCUGCCUUGGCACACAUUGUGAGAAAGAGGCCGAAGAAGGUCUGCUAUAGAGAUUCUGGGAGCUGAACUGGGAGCCUGGUGGGGCAAGGUCUUUCUGUAGAAAGCUGGCAUUUGUGGGCUAGGAAUUCCUGUACUUUAACAGUAGUAUGCAGGAAAAUCUUGUCCUGUUCUUGAUUCUGAUUAUACACAACCAGCUGGUCACACUUGUAUGGAUUUAAUGCAACCCCAGCAAAAUGAGACUACAAUACCAAAACUCAAUACUAAAUUCAGCAAGCAUUUACCUGAUCGCAAAAAGAAGUUUAAUUGCUUUCCCUUAAUAUGAUAUAACCAUAUGCAGGCAUAGAAUAGGAAUGCAAUGCCAUGAAUGCAAUGCAUUGUUUAAAAAAUAAAGCACCUUUAAAGCAAUAAUUUGUAAGUCAGAGAAUAUCAGAAGUGACUAUAGAAGUCAACUUGCUCCAAUGGACAGCCCUCAACAGUCUCCAUCCAUCCAGGACCUGAUGAACCCAGUUAACAUGCAACUUACAGCGGCGGGAAUCAGCCUUUGCUUUGUACAUUUUGCAAAUAUUCAGCAUCUGGACAAGGUGCUUUUGUACAGUGACAAACUCCCCUUCUCCCUUGUCUCCCAGAACCGGAAGAUGCAUGAAAAGGGCAGAGCAGAGGUUGGCUUCACGCAGGCAUUGCUUAGAAAAAGCCCUGGAGAGGAGGGGACUUAGAUAGCUGUGGGAACUUUCGGUCUCAGCAAUAGAUCCAUGGGGGCCUGACUAGUUAGCUAGAACACUGAACAGGAGCAUUCCACCAGGCAUGUUUCAGGUCCUACCUAAUAAAGCUAAUAACUGUUGAUUAGAAUUAGAACUCUUCUCCAUUACAUCUAAGCUGGUGGCUGUCAUCAUGUUAUUUUUCUCUUGUUCCUGUGUGAAAAAACUUUUUUCCCUCCUAAAUUGAUAAUCCCAAGUUCUGGUAUGGGGAGAGAUACAGCGGGUUGCAGUAGAGGUUCUCCAUAUUAGCUUUCUCAUGAGCAAACCUCUUAUAAUAUUAAUUAUUUUUUUUAUACCUUAUUAUCUUCAGGUCUGCAUUAAAUUACCCCCCCCCCCCAAAAAAUGCUUGUUGCAUACAAAAACAUACAGAUGCUGAAAAAGAAGUAAAAAUAGCAGAGUUGCAGAAUGAAAUAAUGACAGCAAACCAGUUUACCAAAGCACAAUCAUACUUCACUGAAUAUCAGAUAUAUUAAAAGAAGAAAAAUGGGGCAACCAAGACAUCACACCAUAUUUCAGAUGUGGGUGCACCCCAGAGUUAUUACAUAUAAACCAGAGCAAUUGUCUGUAACGGGAGAUGGCAUAUCCAUAGUAGCAAAGUUUAGCUGUUGAGGACCAGCUAAAUAUAUAUAUGACUCCCUCUAGUGACUGGAUCGAGUAAGCAUACCUUCACUGUUAUUUUCAAUGAAGACAUGAAGAAAUUUGUUUGCAGGGCUGUUCUGCAAUUUGUCACUGAUACAAUAAUAGUGCAUUAGUGGUAUAUUUAUACUGGGCUGUCCACACUUCAUUCUAUUUUAUUAGUUCUGUGAUGUUUCCCCAAUGUCCCUGUUCCAGACACCUGGAGGGAUGCUCUUGCACUGUAACACAACAAAAGCAAGAAAAUCCCACCAAUCUUGGGAACAUUUGUAAUCUGAAAAGCUACAUGAUUUCAGCAGGAAGUUAUAGGACACGCACUGAUUGGAAAUGAAGCAGUGUGUCUGCCUUGGAACUUUUGCACGUGCAAGUAGCAUCAUUAGCACAAUUCAUCAUGUUUAAUGAUGCCUCUGUUUAAUGAUGGUCCAAAGACUUGUCCCAAAGCAAAUAAAUCACAGAUGCACAGGAUCACAGCUCAGAUUCAUUAGUCUAGAACAACUACCGUGGCUGGUUUUAUAUUCAUAAUCAUUAAAAAUGUUACUGUGCUCUGGAUGACCUUGAAAACUUUUGUUGAUGGGCAGUAGGCAGUAAAUGAAUGAAUGAAUGAAUGAAUAAAAUUUAGAGCUGUCAGCACAUUAUAAAAAGUCAUUCAAAGAAAGCUGUACAAAAUUAAUAUCUGCAGUAACUGUAACAGAGGAUUAGACAAAUUCGUGGAGAUUAGGGCUAUCAGGUUCUCCCUCCACUGUCAGAGAUGGCAUGCCUCAGAAUAUCAGCCACCAGUAUAGAUAAUUCUGAAUAAGGUGGGCCAUUUGACAGGUCCAAGAGGGGUCUUCUUUUUAAGUUUCUAUGUCUUCUCUCCUGCUUACUUGUCAGACGGCUUCCCUGUGGCAGCAGUAUGUGCUCUAUUUAUAUUGAAAAAAUCUGUAAUGAAAGAUGCCAGGAAUGGUUAAUCUAUGUUUUUUAGUGUGGGGGGGUCCCCCCCAAUCUGUAAGCUGCCUUGAGUCCCACUAGGAUAAAGGCAAGGUAAAAAAGGUAAAGGUAACGGUAUCCCUGACCGUAAGGUCCAGUCGCGGAUGACUCGGGGGUUGCAGCGCUCAUCUGGCUCUACAGGCAGAGGGAGCUGGUGUUUGUCCACAGACAGCUUCUGGGUCAUAUGGCCAGCAUGACUAAGCCGCUUCUGGCGAACCAGAGCAGCACACGGAAAUGCCGUUUACCUUCCCACCGGAGUGGUACCUAUUUAUCUACUUGCCCUUUGAGGUGCUUUUGAACUGCUAGGUGGGCAGGAGCAGGGACCAAGCAAUGGGAGCUCACCCCAUUGCAGGAAUUCGAACCGCUGACCUUCCGAUCGGCAAGCCCUAGGCUCAGUGGUUUAGACCACAGCGCCACCCACGUCCCUUUAAAGGCAAGGUAUAAAUUAUGAUAAUAAUAAUGGAAGAGGUAUUUAAGCUCAAUGGCCAUGAGAACAGUUUCUGGGCUUGUCUUGUGAAUAUUAAACUUGCAAGGGAGUGCACAAAUUGACUAGACUAGAGAUCUGGGAACAGGCUUGAUUCAGUAUGCAUUUAAAGUCAAAUUUAUCUACUUCUCACUUCCUGAAACUUUCUGAUAUAUUUCCAUAGGAAUCUGGUUGGCCACAGUGAGAAAGAGGAUACAAGUCUAGAUGGGCCUUUAUUCUAAUCCAGCGGGGCUCUCCUUAUAUUUUUAUACAUGCAGUAUUUUUAGAUAUGUCAUGAGAAAGAAGCCAUUUCUCCAUUCCAUUUGCAAAUGAUCUUAUUUAAUAUGAAAACUGGCAAACUUGCGUGCUUCUGAACCCGAUGGAGACAGUUAAAUAAAAAUUGUUUUUGAUGGAUUUUAUAUAUUGCUUAUUCAGACAACAUUCAAGAAUCUCUGCACCACUGGCAGGACUUCCGGGACAGCGCCAUUGGCAAUGGCGGAGUUCCUCUGACAGAGAGGAACCCGCUCCAUGAAAAUCGGGUCUUGCCGCCGCGGCGAAGGCGGAGACCCUUUAAAAAUCCCAGGCAGAGGAAGCCUGGGAACGUGGCAUUCGGCUGACACCAGGAGCGACUCCCCUACUCGCAGGGAAACCCUUUUCCGGGGGUCCGAAGCGACAUGGGGUGAGUAGCGCGGUGUUUUGAAUCAACCACUACUUUUACGGAGUGAAGCCGCAAAGCCGUUGCCGGAGAGCGCUGACUUUCUCCUGUGGACAAUUGGACUCUAAACAAGUACCCGUGAGUAGAACGGAAAAUUGGAUUAAGUACUAAGAAAUAUUUUAAUUUGGCACUGAAACGGCAAGGUUCUAAACAGGAAGUCCGCCUCCCAUUUUUUGCAAAUAGAUUGAAGCAAAAACUUUGUAAGCUAAAGUCUGGAAAGUCGUAUAUAAAGUUCUAAAUUUCCUUCAUUCAUCACCACCAAAACCCCUCUUGGAAGCAGGAGAAAAGAGGGGGAUUUUUGACUGUUUAAGCCUGCAGGAGAGAGAGUAAAGAAAGAUAAAUUUUCCACCGUCUCAAACCUGGGAACGGGGUGUCAGAGACAGAAAUUUAUGGGGAAAGUUCAUCGACUGUGAACGUCUUUUGACAGAUAG